UUUUUUUUAAGCCUUUCCACCUUGGACGAAAUUGGGCUUUUAGAAGCAAGUGGUAUUGUUCAGAAACACAGCCUGCGUUUCCUGGCUUGAAUGGAGAGUGUCUCUUGACUGUGCUGACUUUUGGGGAUUCUUUUCUUAACAGCAGAUAGCAGUGGGGUCGGAAAGGGUGACCUGCAGUCCACGUUGCUGGAAGGGCAUGGCACAGCUCCACCUGACCUGGAUCUCUCUGCUAUUAAUGACAAAAGCAUCGUCAAAAAGACGCCACAGUUAGCAAAAACCAUAUCAAAGAAACCUGAGUCAACAUCGUUUUCUGCCCCUCGGAAAAAGAGCCCAGAUUUAUCUGAAGCAAUGGAAAUGAUGGAGUCUCAGACACUACUGCUGACGCUACUAUCCGUAAAGAUGGAGAACAAUCUUGCUGAGUUUGAAAGAAGGGCAGAAAAGAAUUUAUUAAUAAUGUGUAAGGAGAAGGAGAAGCUACAGAAAAAGGCUUACGAGCUGAAGCGCAGGCUUCUCCUCUCUCAGAGGAAGCAGGAGCUGGCAGAUGUCCUGGAUGCCCAGAUCGAGAUGCUCAGCCCCUUUGAGGCAGUGGCCACACGCUUCAAGGAGCAAUACAGGACAUUCGCCACGGCCCUGGACACUACUAGGCACGAGCUUCCCGUGAGGUCCAUCCACCUGGAGGGAGACGGGCAGCAGCUCUUAGGUAGGAAACGGGGCGUCCCAGCGUGUGUGC
rnacentral:sRNA from 1 species